rnacentral:snRNA from 1 species
CGAUUUGGCGGUGCCCAAAAU